rnacentral:lncRNA from 1 species
UCACUUAUUUAAUAUACAAAGUCUUUUUUCACAGGGAAUUAUUUGUUUUCCUUAAUUUGUCUUAGUACGCAUAUUUCACAAAACAGUAAAUUGUUAAUGCAAGAGAAUUAGGAAAAACCAAAAAAAGUACAAAUGCUCAGUCCCCAAAAUUGCACACAGUUAAUGUUUUUCAUUUGUUUUAAUGCAGUUUCAAAUGGGCUUUCUUCAGAUGUGGAGGAAACACUGCAGCCCAAAAGAACAGUACUUCCUCUCAACUGUAUUGAUAUGUAAAAUAGCACCUUUGGGCUGACAUGAAAGGAAAUUGGUUUCCGUCUUUCUUAAUUAAAAUGUAAGUCCUGCACAAUGAUAUGACAACUACAAUAAUGACAAUGUUAAGUUUGAAGAGCUCUACUUUGUUCCAAAAUAUUAAUUGGCAUGAAAGGAAAGGUGAACUGUGUCAGGCAAAUGAAACACUGCCCCACCUCACCUCCAUGACAAUUAGAAUAUGUUAGUGAUGCCAUUGCUCUAAUAGUCUAGUUUUCCAGUCAAAAUAUAUAGAUGGUUCAGGGACCUUUUGCAAAACAGAUUAACUAUGCAGCUGUCUCUCUGGGACUGUAAUCCCAUGAACAGCAGCUCAGGAUGAGAUAUAAUCCUGCAGCAUUUAGAAGACUCCUUUACUGUGUACACCUGUCUUCCUUCAGUUUCUCCAUUGUUUUAUAUCCCAAAUUGAUGGGAACAUUUUUGUUUCAUUUGUACUUAAGCUUAAUUUCCUUUUGGGCUUCACUUUUUAAAAAAAAAAAUAUGGAUUGCAUUUCUUUACAACUUAAUACUUGAGCUUAUACAAUAAAAGUGACAGAUCUUUAAAAAAAAAUUAACAGU